rnacentral:rRNA from 1 species
UACAGAGGUCUCAACCGUUGUUCGGAUUUACUGGGCGUAAAGGGCGCGCAGGCGGCUCAUUUUGUCAGGCGUGAAAGCCCCGGGCUUAACCUGGGAACUGCGCUUGAGACGGGUGGGCUAGAGAUCGGGAGAGGAGAGUGGAAUUCCCAGUGUAGAGGUGAAAUGCGUAGAUAUUGGGAGGAACACCAGUGGCGAAGGCGGCUCACUGGACCGGUUCUGACGCUGAGGCGCGAAAGCGUGGGGAGCAAACGGG